GAUGAACGCUGGCGGCGUGCCUAAUACAUGCAAGUCGAGCGAACAGACGAGGAGCUUGCUUCUCUGACGUUAGCGGCGGACGGGUGAGUAACACGUGGAUAACCUACCUAUAAGACUGGGAUAACUUCGGGAAACCGGAGCUAAUACCGGAUAAUAUAUUGAACCGCAUGGUUCAAUAGUGAAAGACGGUGUUGCUGUCACUUAUAGAUGGAUCCGCGCUGCAUUAGCUAGUUGGUAAGGUAACGGCUUACCAAGGCAACGAUGCGUAGCCGAACUGAGAGGGGGAUCGGCCACACGAGAACUGGGACACGGUCCAGACUCCUACGGGAGGCAGCAGUAGGGAAUCUUCCGCAAUGGGCGAAAGCAUGACGGAGCAACGCCGCGUGAGUGAUGAAGGUCUUCGGAUCGUAAAACUCGGUUAUUAGGGAAGAACAGAUGUGGAAGGAACUGUGCACGUCUUGACGGUACCUAAUAAGAAAGCCACGGCUAACUACGUG
rnacentral:rRNA from 1 species